rnacentral:rRNA from 1 species
UACGUAGGGGGCUAGCGUUGUCCGGAAUCAUUGGGCGUAAAGAGCGUGUAGGCGGCCCGGUAAGUCCGCUGUGAAAGUCGGGGGCUCAACCCUCGAAUGCCGGUGGAUACUGUCGGGCUAGAGUGCGGAAGAGGCGAGUGGAAUUCCUGGUGUAGCGGUGAAAUGCGCAGAUAUCAGGAGGAACACCUAUAGCGAAGGCAGCUUGCUGGGACGAUACUGACGCUAAGGCGCGAAAGCGUGGGGAGCGAACAGG